ACGGAAGGCAGCAGUGAGGAAUAUUGGUCAAUGGACGGAAGUCUGAACCAGCCAAGUCGCGUGAAGGAUGAAGGUUCUAUGGAUUGUAAACUUCUUUUGCCCGAGGGUAAAGUCAGGUACGUGUACCUGUUUGCAAGUAUCGGGUGAAUAAGCAUCGGCUAACUCCGUGCCAGCAGCCGCGGUAAUACGGAGGAUGCGAGCGUUAUCCGGAUUUAUUGGGUUUAAAGGGUGCGUAGGCGGAAUGUUAAGUCAGUGGUAAAAGCGUGUGGCUCAACCAUACCAAGCCGUUGAAACUGGCGUUCUUGAGUGUAAACGAGGUAGGCGGAAUAUGACAUGUAGCGGUGAAAUGCUUAGAUAUGUCAUAGAACCCCGAUUGCGAAGGCAGCUUGCCAGCAUACAACUGACGCUGAGGCACGAAAGCGUGGGUAUCAAACAGGAUUAGAUACCCUGGUA
rnacentral:rRNA from 1 species